GCUGGGCAAGGUGGCACAUGCCUGUAGUCCCUGCUAUUCGAGAGGGUGAGGUGGGAGGAUCGCUUGAGCCUAGGAGUUCUGGGCUGUAUGUAGUGCACUAUGCUGAUUGGGUGUCUGCAAUGUUCAACAUCAAUAUGGUGACCUCCUGGGAGCGGGGGACCACCAGGUUGCCUAAGGAGGGGUGAACCAGUUGGAAACAGCAGGUCAAAACUCCCAUGCUGAUCAGUAGUGGGAUCACGCCUGUGAAUAGCCACUGCACUCCAGCCUGGGCAACAUAAUGAGACCCCAUCUCUU
ensembl:misc_RNA Metazoa_SRP Metazoan signal recognition particle RNA